rnacentral:rRNA from 1 species
AUUGAACGCUGGCGGCAGGCCUAACACAUGCAAGUCGAACGGUAACAGGAAGAAGCUUGCUUCUUUGCUGACGAGUGGCGGACGGGUGAGUAAUGUCUGGGAAACUGCCUGAUGGAGGGGGAUAACUACUGGAAACGGUAGCUAAUACCGCAUAACUUCGCAAGACCAAAGAGGGGGACCUUCGGGCCUCUUGCCAUCGGAUGUGCCCAGAUGGGAUUAGCUAGUAGGUGGGGUAACGGCUCACCUAGGCGACGAUCCCUAGCUGGUCUGAGAGGAUGACCAGCCACACUGGAACUGAGACACGGUCCAGACUCCUACGGGAGGCAGCAGUGGGGAAUAUUGCACAAUGGGCGCAAGCCUGAUGCAGCCAUGCCGCGUGUAUGAAGAAGGCCUUCGGGUUGUAAAGUACUUUCAGCGGGGAGGAAGGGAGUAAAGUUAAUACCUUUGCUCAUUGACGUUACCCGCAGAAGAAGCACCGGCUAACUCCGUG